CNUAAUGCAUGCAAGUCGAACGAGCGACCCGGGCUUGCCCGGUUAGCUAGUGGCAGACGGCUGAGUAACACGUAAAUAAUCUGCCCCGAAGAGGGGGAUAAUCCAGAGAAAUCUGGCCUAAUACCCCGUACCUAUCUUUUCAGCCUGCUGAAUUGAUAGAAAGGUUUAUUCCGCUUUGGGAGGAGUUUGCGGCUUAUCAGGUAGUUGGUGGGGUAAUGGCCUACCAAGCCGAAGACGAGUAACCGGUGUGAGAGCACGAUCGGUCAGAGGGGGACUGAGACACGGCCCCCACUCCUACGGGAGGCAGCAGCAGGGAAUCUUGCGCAAUGGGCGAAAGCCUGACGCAGCGACACCGCGUGGAGGAUGAAUGUCUUAGGAUUGUAAACUCCUUUUAUCAAGGAAGAGAACGGACGGUACUUGAUGAAUAAGGUUCGGCUAACUACGUGCCAGCAGCCGCGGUAAUACGUAGGAACCGAGCGUUGUCCGAAUUUACUGGGCGUAAAGAGCGCGUAGGCGGUUUAUUAAGUCUCAUGUGUAAUCUCCCGGCUCAACUGGGAGGGGUCAUGGGAUACUGGUAGACUUGAAGAUAGCAGAGGAAAGCGGAAUUCCCGGAGUAGUGGUGAAAUGCGUAGAUACCGGGAGGAACACCAGAAGCGAAGGCGGCUUUCUGGGCUAUUCUUGACGCUGAGGCGCGAAAGCGUGGGGAGCGAACCGGAUUAGAUACCCGGGUAGUCCACGCCCUAAACGAUGGAUACUA
rnacentral:rRNA from 1 species